GGCUCCCUAGUUCUCCCUGCAGGCUAUGUUCAUAUACUGACUGUAUAGAAAGAGGAAACAGGUAAAACCCAUAGACACUCCAGCCCAACCCUGAGUGUAGUCUGUAUUUUGACUAGGGGAAUAUGA
ensembl:snoRNA